GAGCGGCGAACGGGUGAGUAACACGUGAGUAACCUGCCCUGGACUUUGGGAUAACCCUCGGAAACGGGGGCUAAUACCGAAUACGACCUGCCACUGCAUGGNNGGUGGUGGAAAGUUUUUCGGUCUGGGAUGGGCUCGCGGCCUAUCAGCUUGUUGGUGGGGUGAUGGCCUACCAAGGCGACGACGGGUAGCCGGCCUGAGAGGGCGACCGGCCACACUGGGACUGAGACACGGCCCAGACUCCUACGGGAGGCAGCAGUGGGGAAUAUUGCACAAUGGGCGGAAGCCUGAUGCAGCGACGCCGCGUGAGGGAUGACGGCCUUCGGGUUGUAAACCUCUUUCAGCAGGGACGAAGCGCAAGUGACGGUACCUGCAGAAGAAGCGCCGGCCAACUACGUGCCAGCAGCCGCGGUAAGACGUAGGGCGCGAGCGUUGUCCGGAUUUAUUGGGCGUAAAGAGCUCGUAGGCGGCUUGUCGCGUCGACCGUGAAAACUCGCAGCUCAACUGCGAGCCUGCGGUCGAUACGGGCAGGCUAGAGUUCGA
rnacentral:rRNA from 1 species